rnacentral:rRNA from 1 species
AGUGGAGCCUGCGGCUUAAUUUGACUCAACACGGGAAACCUCACCAGGCCCGGACACCGGAAGGAUUGACAGAUUGAGAGCUCUUUCUUGAUUCGGUGGGUGGUGGUGCAUGGCCGUUCUUAGUUGGUGGAGCGAUUUGUCUGGUUAAUUCCGAUAACGAACGAGACUCUAGCCUGCUAACUAGGCGUAUUUCGACAUCCCAAAGGCCCGCCGGUUCGGGGUUUCGGCUCCUUUCCGCGCGCGGUUUUUACUGUCGGCGUACAAACAAUUCUUCUUAGAGGGACAGGCGGCAUUUAGCCGCACGAGAUUGAGCAAUAACAGGUCUGUGAUGCCCUUAGAUGUUCUGGGCCG